GACGAACGCUGGCGGCGUGCUUAACACAUGCAAGUCGAACGAAGUGGCGAACGGGUGAGUAACGCGUAAUCAACCUGCCCUUCAGAGGGGGACAACAGUUGGAAACGACUGCUAAUACCGCAUACUGAAGGAGGGGCAUGCGUCUGAUUAGCUAGUUGGAGGGGUAACGGCCCACAAGGGCGAUGAUCAGUAGCCGGGCUGAGAGGAUGAACGGCAAAAGUGGGACUGAGACACGGCCCAGACGCCUACGGGAGGCAGCAGGGGGGAAUCUUUCGCAAUGGACGAAAGUCUGACGGAGCAACGCCGCGUGAGUGAUGACGGCCUUCGGGUUGGAAAGCUCUGUUAAUCGGGACGCGGUACCGGAAUAGAAAGCCACGGCUAACUACGUGCCAGCAGCCGCGGUAAUAC
rnacentral:rRNA from 1 species